ensembl:snRNA U6 U6 spliceosomal RNA
AGCUCGCUUCGGCAGCACGUAACUAAAAUUGGGACGCUGCAGAGAAGACUAGCAUGGCCCCCAGGCAAGGAUGGCAUGCAGAUUCGUGAAGGAUUGCAUAUUUUU